UGGUUUUGAUUUGAAAGGCGCUUUCGGGUGUCGCUGAUGGAUGGACCCGCGGUGCAUUAGCUAGUUGGUGAGGUAACGGCUCACCAAGGCCACGAUGCAUAGCCGACCUGAGAGGGUGAUCGGCCACAUUGGGACUGAGACACGGCCCAAACUCCUACGGGAGGCAGCAGUAGGGAAUCUUCGGCAAUGGACGAAAGUCUGACCGAGCAACGCCGCGUGAGUGAAGAAGGUUUUCGGAUCGUAAAACUCUGUUGUUAGAGAAGAAUAAGGAUGAGAGUAACUGUUCAUCCCUUGACGGUAUCUAACCAGAAAGCCACGGCUAACUACGUGCCAGCAGCCGCGGUAAUACGUAGGUGGCAAGCGUUGUCCGGAUUUAUUGGGCGUAAAGCGAGCGCAGGCGGUUUCUUAAGUCUGAUGUGAAAGCCCCCGGCUCAACCGGGGAGGGUCAUUGGAAACUGGGAGACUUGAGUGCAGAAGAGGAGAGUGGAAUUCCAUGUGUAGCGGUGAAAUGCGUAGAUAUAUGGAGGAACACCAGUGGCGAAGGCGGCUCUCUGGUCUGUAACUGACGCUGAGGCUCGAAAGCGUGGGGAGCAAACAGGAUUAGAUACCCUGGGUAGUCCACGCGCCGUAAACGAUGAGUGCUAAGUGUUGGAGGGUUUCCGCCCUUCAGUGCUGCAGCUAACGCAUUAAGCACUCCGCCUGGGGAGUACGACCGCAAGGUUGAAACUCAAAGGAAUUGACGGGGGCCCGCACAAGCGGUGGAGCAUGUGGUUUAAUUCGAAGCAACGCGAAGAACCUUACCAGGUCUUGACAUCCUUUGACCACUCUAGAGAUAGAGCUUCCCCUUCGGGGGCAAAGUGACAGGUGGUGCAUGGUUGUCGUCAGCUCGUGUCGUGAGAUGUUGGGUUAAGUCCCGCAACGAGCGCAACCCUUAUUGUUAGUUGCCAUCAUUCAGUUGGGCACUCUAGCAAGACUGCCGGUGACAAACCGGAGGAAGGUGGGGAUGACGUCAAAUCAUCAUGCCCCUUAUGACCUGGGCUACACACGUGCUACAAUGGGAAGUACAACGAGUUGCGAAGUCGCGAGGCUAAGCUAAUCUCUUAAAGCUUCUCUCAGUUCGGAUUGCAGGCUGCAACUCGCCUGCAUGAAGCCGGAAUCGCUAGUAAUCGCGGAUCAGCACGCCGCGGUGAAUACGUUCCCGGGCCUUGUACACACCGCCCGUCACACCACGAGAGUUUGUAACACCCGAAGUCGGUGAGGUAACCUUUUUGGAGCCAGCCGCCUAAGGUGGGAUAGAUG
rnacentral:rRNA from 1 species